GCCAAUAAGAACUGCCUCAAGCUUUCUCUCCCCUCAACUACGGGUAGCAUGGCAAGCACACCGAAGGACGGUUACGAGAAGGUGUAUGCUACCGGCUAGGUGGCCUUCACCUAGGGAAGUUCCCAACCUGGUAGCUCUCCCCUGUGAUGACAGGAUGCGCAUAUAGGUCCUUCGGGACAAGCCAACGUGCGCUGCUCACGGUAAAUUUGUGGAGUCGGGUCAAAAGGAUGCCGUUAUACAUAAUAGUGUUGAGAAUGGGGCUGCCCGUAGGUGUUCUCAUUCUUGAGGACCCGAUUAUAUGGCCUUAUGCUUGCGACACAUAGACCUACUGCUUUGCGGAGCCGUAGGAGUUUUAGAGCUUGGGAUUCCAAUGGAUUGCAAGGAUCAAGCCAUUGAUGUGCAGACUUUUUUUUUUUUUUUUUUUUUUGUAGACUGUACAAUUUUUGUUAUGUAUAUAUAUAGGAGAACACUUGACACAUGGGGAUGCUAUAACCCCCCUAGAGUGGUCGCUUUUGAUUAUGCCUCCUGACAGGGCUUGAAAUGUUUGUUUUUGGAUUCCCAGCUCAUAUGUAA